rnacentral:rRNA from 1 species
AGAGUUUGAUCCUGGCUCAGAUUGAACGCUGGCGGUAUGCUUAACACAUGCAAGUCGAACGGAAACGAAACUAGCUUGCUAGUAGGCGUCGAGUGGCGGACGGGUGAGUAACGCGUAGGAAUCUGCCUGAUAGUGGGGGAUAGCCCGAAGAAAUUCGGAUUAAUACCGCAUAAUCUAUUCGUAGUAAAGUGGGGGACUUUCGAGCCUCACGCUAUCAGAUGAGCCUGCGUAAGAUUAGCUUGUUGGUAGGGUAAAAGCCUACCAAGGCAACGAUCUUUAGCUGGUCUGAGAGGAUGAUCAGCCACAUCGGGACUGAGACACGGCCCGAACUCCUACGGGAGGCAGCAGUGGGGAAUAUUGGACAAUGGGGGCAACCCUGAUCCAGCAAUACCGCGUGUGUGAAGAAGGCCCGAGGGUUGUAAAGCACUUUCAAUUGUGAAGAAAAGUUAGCGGUUAAUAACCGUUGACCUUGACGUUAACUAUAGAAGAAGCACCGGCUAACUCCGUGCCAGCAGCCGCGGUAAUACGGAGGGUGCAAGCGUUAAUCGGAAUUACUGGGCGUAAAGCGUGCGUAGGCGGUUUAUUAAGUCAGAUGUGAAAGCCCCGGGCUUAACCUGGGAACUGCAUUUGAAACUGGUCAACUAGAGUAUGGUAGAGGAAAGUGGAAUUUCUGGUGUAGCGGUGAAAUGCGUAGAUAUCAGAAGGAACAUCAAUGGCGAAGGCAGCUUUCUGGACCAAUACUGACGCUGAGGUACGAAAGCGUGGGUAGCAAACAGGAUUAGAUACCCUGGUAGUCCACGCCGUAAACGAUGAUAACUAGCCGUUGGGGGGAUUUACCCCUUAGUGGCGAAGCUAACGCGUUAAGUUAUCCGCCUGGGGAGUACGGCCGCAAGGCUAAAACUCAAAGGAAUUGACGGGGACCCGCACAAGCGGUGGAGCAUGUGGUUUAAUUCGAUGCAACGCGAAGAACCUUACCUGGUCUUGACAUCCUGCGAACUUUCUAGAAAUAGAUUGGUGCCUUCGGGAACGCAGUGACAGGUGCUGCAUGGCUGUCGUCAGCUCGUGUCGUGAGAUGUUGGGUUAAGUCCCGUAACGAGCGCAACCCCUAUCCUUAUUUGCCAGCACAUUAUGGUGGGAACUAUAAGGAGACUGCCGGUGAUAAACCGGAGGAAGGCGGGGACGACGUCAAGUCAUCAUGGCCCUUACGACCAGGGCUACACACGUGCUACAAUGGGAAGGACAAAGAGCCGCGAAGCCGCGAGGUGUAGCUAAUCUCAUAAAUCUUUUCGUAGUCCGGAUUGGAGUCUGCAACUCGACUCCAUGAAGUCGGAAUCGCUAGUAAUCGUAGAUCAGAAUGCUACGGUGAAUACGUUCCCGGGUCUUGUACACACCGCCCGUCAUACCAUGGGAGUGGGUUGCACCAGAAGUGGCUAGUCUAACUUAGUGAGGACGGUCACCACGGUGUGAUUCAUGACUGGGGUAAAGUCGUAACAAGGUAACC